rnacentral:rRNA from 1 species
UUGGAGGGCAAGUCUGGUGCCAGCAGCCGCGGUAAUUCCAGCUCCAAUAGCGUAUAUUAAAGUUGUUGCAGUUAAAAAGCUCGUAGUUGAAUUUCGGGAUCAGAGUGUCGGUCGUGCCUCGGUACGCACUGGUAUUAUUGGUUCCUACCUUCUGAAGAACCGCGAUGUCAUUAAUUUGGUGUCGUGGGGAAUCAGGACUGUUACUUUGAAAAAAUUAGAGUGUUUAAAGCAGGCUUACGCUUGAAUACAUUAGCAUGGAAUAAUGAAAUAGGACGUUUGAUUCUAUUUUGUUGGUUUCUAGGAUUGACGUAAUGAUUAAUAGGGAUAGUUGGGGGCAUUAGUAUUCAAUUGUCAGAGGUGAAAUUCUUGGAUUUAUUGAAGACUAACUACUGCGAAAGCAUUUGCCAAGGAUGUUUUCAUUAAUCAAGAACGAAAGUUAGGGGAUCGAAGACGAUCAGAUACCGUCGUAGUCUUAACCGUAAACUAUGCCGACUAGGGAUCGGAUGAUGUUAAUUUUUUAAUGACUCAUUCGGCGCCUUACGGGAAAC